UACAGAGGUCUCGAGCGUUAGGCGGAAUCACUGGGCUUAAAGCGUGUGUAGGUGGAUCGUUAAGUACCUUGUGAAAUCCCACGGCUUAACCGUGGAACUGCUUGGUAUACUGGCGGUCUUGAGCCAGCUAGGGGCUACCGGAACAAAUGGUGGAGCGGUGAAAUGCGCAGAUAUCAGGAGGAACACCGGUGGCGAAGGCGGUUCUCUGGGCAUGUCCUGACGCUGAGGAGCGAAAGUGUGGGGAGCGAACAGG
rnacentral:rRNA from 1 species